rnacentral:rRNA from 1 species
AGUGAACGCUGGCGGUAGGCCUAACACAUGCAAGUCGAACGGCAGCACAGUAAGAGCUUGCUCUUACGGGUGGCGAGUGGCGGACGGGUGAGGAAUACAUCGGAAUCUACUUUUUCGUGGGGGAUAACGUAGGGAAACUUACGCUAAUACCGCAUACGACCUACGGGUGAAAGCAGGGGAUCUUCGGACCUUGCGCGAUUGAAUGAGCCGAUGUCGGAUUAGCUAGUUGGCGGGGUAAAGGCCCACCAAGGCGACGAUCCGUAGCUGAUCUGAGAGGAUGAUCAGCCACACUGGAACUGAGACACGGUCCAGACUCCUACGGGAGGCAGCAGUGGGGAAUAUUGGACAAUGGGCGCAAGCCUGAUCCAGCCAUACCGCGUGGGUGAAGAAGGCCUUCGGGUUGUAAAGCCCUUUUGUUGGGAAAGAAAAGCAGCAGGUUAAUACCCCGCUGUUCGGACGGUACCCAAAGAAUAAGCACCGGCUAACUUCGU